rnacentral:rRNA from 1 species
GACGAACGCUGGCGGCGUGGAUUAGGCAUGCAAGUCGAACGGUAUAAACCUUUCGGGGUUUAGAGAGUGGCGAACGGGUGAGUAACACGUAGGUAAUCUACCCUCAAAACGGGGACAACCCAGGGAAACUUGGGCUAAUACCGGAUGCGUGCAAGCAAUGUUUUGGCUGUUAAUGCUAUUCACGGAAGUGAGUAGUGUUAAUGGUUGAGAGCAUUAUUUGCAUAAAAGGUGGCAUAUGCUGCCGUUUGAGGAUGAGCCUGCGUCCUAUUAGCUAGUUGGUGGGGUAAAGGCCUACCAAGGCGACGAUCAGUAGCUGGUCUGAGAGGACGACCAGCCACACUGGGACUGAGACACGGCCCAGACUCCUACGGGAGGCAGCAGUCGAGAAUAGUCUACAAUGGCCGGAAGGCUGAUAGUGCGACGCCGCGUGAACGAGGGAGCCCUUCGGGGUGUAAAGUUCUUUUCUAUACGAGCAGUGCUAUAUAUAUGGAUAGUAUAUAU